CGCACGAUCCACCAUGGAUCGAAGCUCAUUUUUGCGAUGUUUCUCAUGGUCUACCACAAUCCAUGGUCAUUGUUUGUGCACAAUCGGAUGAGUUGUAGGGGUUUGCGGUCAAGAUCCAAUGGUCCAGAGGUUAUUUGGGUGCUAUCAAAAGUCCUGAGAUGCUUAGGACAUGCUUUGGAUAUAGUCUGAGGCCUUUAAGAGGCCUUGUGGGCAACAAAGGCUGGUGUGUUCAAUAGAGAACCUGCAGCUGGUAGAGCAGAUGCAGGCAGAGCAUCGACAGAGGGUUGGUGGAAGAGCAAAGCAUCAAGUAGAGCGGUAGCAACGGUUGUAUGAGUGGCCGUGAGGCAUGAUGUAACGGUUUGUAUCGCAAAAAGUGUCCAGAGAUGUCGAGGAUCCUGGCACUGGCAGACCUGUGAGAAGAUCUCCUUGAAAGAUUUUAUGAGAGCUUUUAUGAUGAUGAGUGCUUCUUGUUGAGAGAGAUUUAUGUAUGAGAGUCGAAAAUGGGUGUUCUCCUCUUAUACUUAUUUUUUUCUUAUAGUGAAGCUUGCAUGCCCCAUAGAGGUAGCACUUGGAUUGAUCCACAUAUUUGAUCGUGUUCUUAUUUUAUUUCUUUUUUCUUCUUACUACAACGAGCAGUACCAGAUCUUAUCCAACAC
rnacentral:lncRNA from 1 species